AGAGUUUGAUCCUGGCUCAGGAUGAACGCUGGCGGCGUGCCUAACACAUGCAAGUCGAACGAAGCUUGACGGAUGAUUUCUUCGGAAUGAAACCAGAUAUGACUUAGUGGCGGACGGGUGAGUAACACGUGAGCAACCUGCCUUUCAGAGGGGGAUAACGGCUGGAAACGGUCGCUAAUACCGCAUGAUGUGUUCGGAUGGCAUCAUCUGAACAUCAAAGAUUUAUCGCUGAAAGAUGGGCUCGCGUCUGAUUAGAUAGUUGGUGGGGUAACGGCCUACCAAGUCUACGAUCAGUAGCCGGACUGAGAGGUUGAACGGCCACAUUGGGACUGAGAUACGGCCCAGACUCCUACGGGAGGCAGCAGUGGGGAAUAUUGCACAAUGGGGGAAACCCUGAUGCAGCAACGCCGCGUGAAGGAUGACGGUUUUCGGAUUGUAAACUUCUUUUCUUAGUGACGAAGACAGUGACGGUAGCUAAGGAAUAAGCAUCGGCUAACUACGUGCCAGCAGCCGCGGUAAUACGUAGGAUGCAAGCGUUAUCCGGAUUUACUGGGUGUAAAGGGAGCGCAGGCGGGACUGCAAGUUGGAUGUGAAAUUCCGUGGCUUAACCACGGAACUGCAUCCAAAACUGUAGUUCUUGAGUGAAGUAGAGGCAAGCGGAAUUCCGAGUGUAGCGGUGAAAUGCGUAGAUAUUCGGAGGAACACCAGUGGCGAAGGCGGCUUGCUGGGCUUUAACUGACGCUGAGGCUCGAAAGUGUGGGGAGCAAACAGGAUUAGAUACCCUGGUAGUCCACACUGUAAACGAUGAUAGCUAGGUGUGGGGGGUCUGACCCCUUCCGUGCCGGAGUUAACGCAAUAAGCUAUCCACCUGGGGAGUACGACCGCAAGGUUGAAACUCAAAGGAAUUGACGGGGGCCCGCACAAGCAGUGGAUUAUGUGGUUUAAUUCGAAGCAACGCGAAGAACCUUACCAG
rnacentral:rRNA from 1 species